rnacentral:tRNA from 1 species
GCCUUGGUGGUGUAGUGGUCAGAACGCUCGACUCGAAUUCGAGAGGUCCGGUGUUUCGAAUCCCGGCGAGGGCA